CGCAUCUGUGCAUGCAGCAUAUCAAUAAGCGGAGGAAAAGAAACUAACAAGGAUUCCCCUAGUAACGGCGAGUGAAGCGGGAAGAGCUCAAAUUUGAAAUCUUAAAGGGUUUCCCUUUACGAAUUGUAGUUUAAAGAAGUGUUUUCUGUUGAGGUUUUGGUAAAAGUUCUUUGGAAUAGGACAUCAUAGAGGGUGAGAAUCCCGUAUUUGACCUUUACUUUCAACUUUGUGAUACACUUUCAAAGAGUCGGAUUGUUUGGGAAUGCAGUCCAAAAUGGGUGGUAAAUUUCAUCUAAAGCUAAAUAUUGGCGAGAGACCGAUAGCGAACAAGUACCGUGAGGGAAAGAUGAAAAGAACUUUGAAAAGAGAGUUAAACAGUACGUGAAAUUGUCAAAAGGGAAGCGUUUGACACCAGUGUUGUUUUUCUGAAAAUCAAUUAAAGAACUGUUUAUGCUAAGCUGUUUAGACUUUAUCAGCUAUCUGUUUAGUUUUGAGCUUUUCUUUAAUGCACUUUUCAGUUAACAAGUCAACAUCAAUUUCUUUUGCUGUAAAAAAGCCUUGAGGAAGGUGGCUUGAGAUUCGUCUUAAGUGUUUAUAGCCUCUUGCCUAUGCAGUCGGAGAGAUUGAGGUCUGCAGCGUAGAUCCUUCGGGGCUAAAUGCAUUUGUGCUAAGUUAUAGCAUUUUAUAGACAACUUGUUGACUAUGAUUUGUCUUGUAGCUUACUCGCUUAUGUUAUUUUACCUACGCUUAGGAUGUUGAACGCGCACAGAGUCUC
rnacentral:rRNA from 1 species